rnacentral:tRNA from 1 species
GUGGGUAUAGCUCAGGGCUAGGGUGCAUGCUUAGCAUGCAUGCAGUCCCAGGUUCAAUCCCCAGUGCCAACA